rnacentral:rRNA from 1 species
AUUGAACGCUGGCGGCAGGCUUAACACAUGCAAGUCGAGCGAGCGGCGGACGGGUGAGUAAUGUCUGGGAAACUGCCUUAUGGAGGGGGAUAACUACUGGAAACGGUAGCUAAUACCGCAUACCAUCAGAUGUGCCCAGAUGGGUUUAGCUAGUAGGUGGGGUAAUGGCUCACCUAGGCGACGAUCCCUAGCUGGGCUGAGAGGAUGACCAGCCACACUGGAACUGAGACACGGGCCAGACUCCUACGGGAGGCAGAAGUGGGGAAUAUUGCAAAAUGGGCGCAAGCCUGAGGAAGCCAUGCCGCGUGUGUGAAGAAGGCCUUAGGGUUGUAAAGCACUUUCAGCGAGGAGGCGUUACUCGCAGAAGAAGCACCGGCUAACUCCGUGCCAGCAGCCGCGGUAAUUC